rfam:Salmo salar isolate Sally breed double haploid chromosome ssa21, whole genome shotgun sequence.
UCAUAUCCAUUUUGUAAGUCGCUCUGGAUAAGAGCGUCUGCUAAAUGACUUAAA